GAUGAAGAAACGCAGCGAAAUGCGAUAAGUAAUGCGAAUUGCAGAAUUCAGUGAGUCAUCGAAUCUUUGAACGCACAUUGCGCCCUGUGGUAUUCCGCAGGGCAUGCCUGUUCGAGCGUCAUUUCAACCCUCAAGCUCUGCUUGGUGUUGGGCCCUGCCCGCUGCGGCCGGCCCUAAAGACAGUGGCGGUGCCGCCUGGCCCUGAGCGUAGUACAUCUCUCGCUCCAGUGCCCGGUGGUAGCCUGCCAGAACCCCAACUCUCGUGGUUGACCUCGGAUCAGGUAGGGAUACCCGCUGAACUUAAGCAUAUCAAUAAGCGGAGGA
rnacentral:misc_RNA from 1 species